UGAAAGGUGACACGGGACAGCCCCACCUCACUCAACCUGUUUGUCCUGUUGCAGGCACCUGAGGAGGGGGAACCAGCGGCUCCCUCUCCCCUUCAGCUCCCUGCUCCGGCGUUUCUGAGCCCUGCACCUGAGGGAUUCUGUGUGCAGGAACGCCGGGCACCAGGUGAAACAGCGAGGAGGAAGGCAGAGGGUGGCACAGGGCAGCCGAGCAUCCUCCUGCGCUCCAAGAACGAGCAGAGCACGGAACAGCUCCAGGAUUUCAGCAUCCAGCACCAAGGGCUGGAAGUGAGGACACAGGUCUGAACAAACACCGAUAGUUUCAGCUCCUUGCUCUCCAGCUGCCUGAGGGACCUGUGCAAUGGAGGGGGAGACUGAAGGACUGAGACAGAACUGCCUGGACUCAUCGUGAGCCUGGGCACAGAGUUGGAUCCACAUGGAUGUCAAAAGGAGAAAUCCAUCUACUCCUGGCCAUCCAGCCCACCCCAGGAGACCAUCCAGUGCUGGGGAGGGCCAGCAGAUCCUCGCCUUUCUCCAGGGAGGAGGUGCCCAGGGUGGCCCAUGUUCUUCCCCCACACCCUGAGGGACCCAGCUCCUCUGCAGGCAGCUGGUGGCAGCAGUGGCAGCACCAGUUCCAUAACGGGAGCAGAUUCCAGGUCUCCAUGGCUGCUGGGAUUUCCCACUGCUGGUCCCAAGUAUCACCUCGAGAUCUCCAGGAGCCAAAACUCUGCACAAAGCCCUCCUGUUCCCAGAGCCUGACUCUGCCCAGCCCUCAUGGACACCCCCGGGCUGCUGGGCUGGAUGUGUGACACAGGGUCACCUCUCACAGCAGAGGACAUUGGGCCAUGCAGCCCAUGGCAGGGGUGCAUCCCCAGGAGCCACCACUCAGGGGUGUGCAGGGCUGUCCAGCUCCCUCCUGGCUCCCCUGGAAGUACCACCAAUGACCCAUUGCUGUUCAGACAAAAGCCCUCCUGGCGCUUCAUGGGAACACAAGGGAGCACUGGGCAGUACCACACAGCUCCUGGGGAGCUGCCACCCAAGCCCUCACCCCAGAGCUCCAGUCCCUGCCCUUUCUGAGGAAGCCAGGACAGCAGGCUCACAGAUAUUCCUUGUUUACCAACCAGAUGGGAACUCCAGAAAACCUGUGGAGAGGAGAGCAGGGCUGUGCGAGGCUCUCCCAGACCUGCGUUGUCACAACUUCGCCGUUGGUUUGGGGAUUUUGCCAAGAGUUUGGUCCUGCAUCACAGCAGAGGAUGCUCAUCAUGGCAAAGCAUCCCCAUCCUGGCACAGCAUUCCCAGGGUGACAGAGGAUCCCAAUCCCAUCAGAGCAUUCCCGGAGUGACAAAGGAUCCUCAGCCCAUCAGAGCAUCCCGCAUGGCUCCUGGUCUGAAUGGCUGGGGGACAAACCUGAGUUCACUGCCGUGCAUCCCCCAAGGGGUUAAGGACAUGCACGGGGCCAGGCAGGCCCAGGCUGUGGUGUCACCCUUCCGUCCUGCAUCCCCUCCGCAUUCCUUCCC
rnacentral:lncRNA from 1 species